GUUCCACUGUGCUGGCCACGGCGACCUCUCCAACUAGCACACUGUUUGCAUUCAGCCGCUCCGUGUGAAUUUCUGUGCGUUUAAAGGUUGCUGACGCUGAACGAGAGCUCUACACCGACACCCAGCGGCAGCUGCCGAGCAACACAACCGCACAACGUCAAAGGGCCGCCUACUACGAGAAGAAGGCGUGAGAUGCCGUGACGCCCACUCCCCGUCACGUCCUUCACGGGAGUUGGCGUCUCCGACCUACCGAUCUGCUGCCCCGCCGACUCCGACGCUAGUUUCUUAGUGGGAUUCAGCACCGUAACGCCGGC